GCCGCCGUAGCUCAGGGGUAGAGUACGUCCUUGGUAAGGACGGGGUCGUGAGUUCGAAUCUCAUCGGCGGCA
rnacentral:tRNA from 1 species